CGACUCCUUUCACCAGCACUGCUGUUGAUCCGUUUCAGAAAGAAAGGAGUAUCCUUCACUCAGCUGGCACACAGCUCAGGGCUCGGGUUUGGGGUUCUUUCUUUGAGAAGUCAAGGAAAGAACCGUUCCUAUGCCUUCUACCAGUGUGUGAGAAGGUGCAUGUAGGAGCUCUGUUAUGCCGGAGAGGUGCUGCAGCAAGAGAUGGAAGAAAACUCUUUAUUAUUGAGGCUUUGGCACAUGCUGUUGAGGCUCCAGCUGUUGGAUAGGACCCGGCUCCCCUUGAGGCUCACGAGGACUCAGCAGUGCUUUUUAAGGUCACUAAGUGUCCCACUGCCAGACUUCAUUUCAGAACCAAGACUCGAUGGUAAUACCUAUAAGAGACGUAUUCCCGGACUGCAGAGUCAGUGAACUUUGAAACGGGAGCAAAACAAGAAGCAUCAGUAGUGCGACCUGCAUGAAGUGCUGGGGAUGGAGCUCAUCAGUGAAGCCAAGCAAAACUUGACAUGAGACUUCCCAUUCAGGAAGAUGAGCUUUCCAGGUGCGUGGUUGCUGCUGUCCAGGCUGAGAGGGAUCUCCAGUAAUGCGCAUCUUCAGGUUUGGCUGAUCUCUUCAGGAGGUGGCAGUAAAUAGAUGGAAGUAUUUUUCACAGAAUUUUGUGAGCACUCUAGGUUUUUCCCAAACUUGUAUUUUAGCUUUAAAGUUACUGUAAAGCUCUUUUUGUGGAUAGAGGGCUGGAUGGCCCAUUAUUGAUCAGUGUGCUGCAUUUUGAAAGGGGAAAGUGACACAGGGGCAGGGAAGUAUUUAGCUUAUAUGGACACCGUGUGUUCUGGGGAGAAAGGGUGUUAAAGAAAGGCCAACAUGACACAAGGAUAAAAGGAAUUAUCUUUGAUUUGAAGUCUAAUAGGAGUCAUCAUCACACGUAUUAUCUGAUUAUUAUCAGUGUAUGCAUCUUUCUCUUUAAAAGUGGUUGGGUCAUUGUUUACUCUGUUUUGUGGCUGUGCUUUGAGAAAGCCUGAAAGCCUUUCCUCACAUGGACACAGAGGUGUAUAGACCAUGCGUGAUACAUCCUUGCAAACUCCAUCAGCCAAACAGUACUAACACUGAUGUCUGAGCUGUCAAUGGUUUAUUCCUUUUUUCCUCAGCCUGUUGAAGAACUUGCAAACAAAAGCAUCAGUACAUUAGAACUACCUAAGAAACUGUAAAAAUUCUUACCUCUUGUAUUUCUCUGCCCAUUUGUUGUUGCUCGUGGUAUUACAUGAGACCUCACACAAAUACCUCUAUUUAGUUGAAUACAGCAUGAUUUGGUUUUGAGUUCCUUCUUUUUCAAAGAUAAGCAAGUCCAACUCCUAUCUUAUUGAUCGAUUGCUGAAAUUCCCAUGACCACGCUGAGAGUGUUGCUGACAAAGCCGUAUAAGCGAAUAGUCUUGGAGGUACUCGCUUCCUAGGGGGCUGAAUUAAAAAGGUUUUA